CAGUCGCCGCGGUAAUACGUAGGGGGCAAGCGUUGUCCGGAAUUAUUGGGCGUAAAGCGCGCGCAGGCGGUCAUUUAAGUCUGGUGUUUAAUCCCGGGGCUCAACCCCGGAUCGCACUGGAAACUGGGUGACUUGAGUGCAGAAGAGGAGAGUGGAAUUCCACGUGUAGCGGUGAAAUGCGUAGAUAUGUGGAGGAACACCAGUGGCGAAGGCGACUCUCUGGGCUGUAACUGACGCUGAGGCGCGAAAGCGUGGGGAGCAAACAGGAUUAGAUACCCCCGUAGUCCCUGUCUCUUAUACA
rnacentral:rRNA from 1 species